GCUCUCAUUGUUCCCCCACCUUCCUUUACUUCUCCUUAAGCUACUCAUUUACAUUUUUCUCUCCCCCCUUUAACCUUGCCGUCCAAUACACCUAGACAAACAAAAGUAACUUUUAUUUUAUUCUUUUUCUCUCUCCUAUCUUUUCUCUCCUCAUCCCCUUUUACACUACCUUUAACCACCAUUAUUUUUUAUUUUGGCCUCCACUCCUCCACUCCUCCACCGUUAACCACCAUCAUCCAACCUAAACACCACCACUUCAUCUCUGCCCAUCCUCCUCCCACUCUCUUUUCCACUGCCGGACCUCUUCUACUGCCAUUGUAUCACAGCAUCACCACUGUUGUUAGCCACUGUUUUUUCUCUAUUUUCCAUUUUUCUCUUCAACUCUCUAGUCAUAACCAAAUUUCUAUCCCUCUUUUCUUAAUUUUUCUUAAACUAUUAAUAAAAGCUUAUACUCAUUCUUCUAUUUUGAUAUUGAUUAUUCCUUAACCUCUACUCCUUCAUCAAAUUGAGACUCUGGUAAAUCAUUGAUCUUUCUAACCCAACUGUAUUAACGACUUAAUUUGGACCAUUCGGAUCCCCUUUACCUAUAGUGAAUCAAUUGGAUUGUCUUGAAGAAAGAUCAGGCGAGAUCUGCCUAGUUUUGUUAUCACUGAAGUUUGGAGCAUAGAUCUAGUGUCAAGCCAAAUCGUCAAGUGUGGGUUUAACCAAAUAAAGUUUGAUUAAUAAUUUAUUAAAUGAUUACUUAUUUAUAAAUAUUAUAUAUUAUAACAUACACUGAAAUGUGAUUAAUUAUGAACUAUGAGUAUACAUGGUGAUAGACAAAUUCCUUAAAUGGCUUAUU